rnacentral:rRNA from 1 species
AACGCUAGCUACAGGCUUAACACAUGCAAGUCGAGGGGCAGCAUGGUCUUAGCUUGCUAAGGCCGAUGGCGACCGGCGCACGGGUGAGUAACACGUAUCCAACCUGCCGUCUACUCUUGGACAGCCUUCUGAAAGGAAGAUUAAUACAAGAUGGCAUCAUGAGUCCGCAUGUUCACAUGAUUAAAGGUAUUCCGGUAGACAAUGGGGAUGCGUUCCAUUAGAUAGUAGGCGGGGUAACGGCCCACCUAGUCUUCGAUGGAUAGGGGUUCUGAGAGGAAGGUCCCCCACAUUGGAACUGAGACACGGUCCAAACUCCUACGGGAGGCAGCAGUGAGGAAUAUUGGUCAAUGGGCGAGAGCCUGAACCAGCCAAGUAGCGUGAAGGAUGACUGCCCUAUGGGUUGUAAACUUCUUUUAUAAAGGAAUAAAGUCGGGUAUGGAUACCCGUUUGCAUGUACUUUAUGAAUAAGGAUCGGCUAACUCCGUGCCAGCAGCCGCGGUAAUACGGAGGAUCCGAGCGUUAUCCGGAUUUAUUGGGUUUAAAGGGAGCGUAGAUGGAUGUUUAAGUCAGUUGUGAAAGUUUGCGGCUCAACCGUAAAAUUGCAGUUGAUACUGGAUAUCUUGAGUGCAGUUGAGGCAGGCGGAAUUCGUGGUGUAGCGGUGAAAUGCUUAGAUAUCACGAAGAACUCCGAUUG